rnacentral:rRNA from 1 species
UACGGGGGGGGCAAGCGUUGUUCGGAAUUACUGGGCGUAAAGGGCUCGUAGGCGGCCAACUAAGUCCGACGUGAAAUCCCAAGGCUUAACCUUGGAACUGCGUCGGAUACUGGAUGGCUUGAAUUCGGGAGAGGGAUGCAGAAUUCCAGGUGUAGCGGUGAAAUGCGUAGAUAUCUGGAGGAGUACCGGUGGCGAAGGCGGCAUCCUGGACCGACAUUGACGCUGAUGAGCGAAAGCUAGGGGAGCAAACGGG